rnacentral:rRNA from 1 species
AUUGAACGCUGGCGGCAGGCCUAACACAUGCAAGUCGAACGAGUGGCGGACGGGUGAGUAAUGUCUGGGAAACUGCCCGAUGGAGGGGGAUAACUACUGGAAACGGUAGCAAAUACCGCCUAUCAUCGGCUGUGCCCAGAUGGGAUUAGCUUGGAGGUGGGGUAACGGCGCACCUAGGCGACGAUCCCUAGCUGGUCUGAGAGGAUGACCAGCCACACUGGAACUGAGACACGGUCCAGACUCCUACGGGAGGCAGCAGUGGGGAAUAUUGCACAAUGGGCGCAAGCCUGAUGCAGCCAUGCCGCGUGUAUGAAGAAGGCCUUCGGGUUGUAAAGUACGUUCAGCGAGGAGGCGUUACUCGCAGAAGAAGCACCGGCUAACUCCGUGCCAGCAGCCGCGGUAAUUC